GCUGGGAGAUGGAAGUGAAGCAGCGGCCAUUAGACUUUAGAGGUCAUCAUGAUUGGAUGAGGUCAUAGAAGUUUGGCUUCUCUCAUUGACCUGGAAGGAUGCCGUCAUCCACUCUGACCUGCAAACCUUUUGAUCUAAAACAGCGGUCUUCCAGGCGUGGCCCCAAAUCAACAGCAUCAGCGUCACCCAGGAGCUGCCUGAAGCCCUCUUGUGGGAAGCAAGUUUGUCUGCUCCUUUCUGUGAGACGUUCCCAGUCACUGGCUCACCCUGGGAGAGAGAGUACGCGUGUUCUAAGCUACCAACAGACUUCCUCAGAUGCAGUGAGUCAGUACAAACACACAGGCAAGGUUGAAGAACUCCAUGGCCUUCGUCUCUCUUGGCUCAGCGAGGCACAGUUCCUCUUAGCCCAAGACAAAACAGCCUAUGCUGUUAAAUCAGUGGUUCUACCAGCUUCCAGUCAUAAAACCAAGGGGCAAUAAUACAUAAAAUUGGAACUUAUACAUUCUGAGUUACAGCUAAUUGCAGAUGUAUCCAAGCUCAUUAUACAUUUAUCUACCAUUUGUCUGUAAAAGAUUGCCUCUACAGUCCUUCCUUCCUUCUUUUCUUCCCCAUUCCCCUUCUUUCUUUUGGUGCACAGACCCCUUUGAGAAUCUGAUGAAAGCUACUGACCUGCCACAGAAAAAUACAGAGAUAGAAUACUUGACAGAGAACGCUUGACAGACCAUUUCAGGUGGUUAGUGGGUCCUUAAAGGUGAUUGAGGACCCUCAUAGGAGUUAUUACAAGUUUGAAAUUACCCAACAAUUUCAUAAUGAUCCUGACCACUAUAAUACUUUAUUGCUUUGAUGACCACGCAAACAUCUAAAAGCAGCAUCUAAAAGCAUCAUUAUAUGCAGAGACAAUUUCUAGAAGUAUAUACAAGAAAUAGCAGAUGGUGGCUACGCUCGUAUAAGGGACUGGGAGACUGGAAUGAGAGGGAGAUGUAUAUUUUUUCAUUGGACAUCCUUUUACACCAUUUGAUUUUUUUAUACCAUGUGCAUAUAUUAGUUUCCUAAUUAAAGAAAAAGAGUUAAUGAAAAAGUUAUUUAAGUUAAGAACUAUCACUACUCAUUGUCAUUUCCAUGCCUGUGAUAUGGGAAAGGGAGAGUCAUCAAUGGGGAGGUGGUCAACCUCCUACCAGCAGGGUGAAACCCACAUCAGCUGGCAAAGUGAAAGCAUCACUCCAGAAAAGACAGAUGGUUUCACCGGGUCUUCAACAUAGGUCACUGAAGUUCCAAAUGGGAGGGGAGGAUAUUAUCAAUGUUUCAUUAGGUCCCUGCAUAGCCCUGGUGCUGGCUGGAGGAACUGGCCCUAACCUCCUAAGUUUAGUCAUUUCAUAUAAAGAUAAACAUACACUCACAUACAAACCCAAUAAUUCCACUCCUAGGUAUUUCCCCAAGAGAAAUGAAAACAUAUGUUGAUACUAAAACCUCUGAAUGUUUAUAGCAGCUUUAAUCGUAAUCACCAAAAAGUAGACACAAUCCAAAUAUCCUUUUAACAGGUGAAGGGAUAAGUAAACUGUGGUCCUGCACAUUCAUACCAUGGAAUAAAUGCAGUAUGGGGAAAUCUCAAAUGUAUUCUUUUUUUUUUUUUUUGUGAGAUGGAGUCUCGCUCUGUCGCCCAGGCUGGAGUGCAGUGGUGUCAUCUCGGCUCACUGCAAGCUGCGCUUCCCGGGUUCAUGCCAUUCUCCUGCCUCAGCUUUCCGAGUAGCUGGGACUACAGGCACCCGCCACCACGCCCGGCUAAUUUUUUGUAUUUUUAGGAGAGACGGGGUUUAACCAUGUUAGCCAGGAUGGUCUCGAUCUCCUGACCUUGUGAUCCGCCCGCCUCGGCCUCCCAAAGUGCUGGGAUUACAGGCGUGAGCCACCGCACCCAGCCAUCUCAAAUGUAUUCUACUGAGUAGAAGCAGCCAGACUCCAAAGGCACCAUACUGUAUGAUUCUAUUCACGUGAUAUCCUGGAAAGGGCAAAACUAUAAGGACAGAAAAAAGAUCAGUGGCUGCUGGGGGGUGGAGACAGGAAAGACUACAAAGAAGCAGCAGGAGAGAAUUUUGGGGGGUGAUGGAACUUUGCUACAUCUUGAUUGUGGUGGUGGUUACAUGACUGCUUGUAUGUCAAAACUCAUCGAACUGUGUUCAAAUGGAAAAUUACAUACAUAUAUAUAAAAUACAAUGCUGGGCGAGUAUUUUCUUUUCUUUCUUUUUUUGAGAUAGAGUCUCACUCUGCCAUCCAGACUAGAGUGUAGUGCUCUGAUCUUGGCUCACUACAACCUCUGCCUCCUGGGUUCAAGGGGUUCUCCUGCCUUAGCCUCCCGAGUAUCUGGGAUUACAGGUACCUGCCACCAUGCCCAGCUAAUUUUGUAUUUUUAGUAGAGACGGGGUUUCACCACGUUGGUCAGGCUGGUCUCAAAUUCCUGACCUCAAGUGAUCCGCCCGCCUUGGCCUCCCAAAGUGCUGGGAUUACAGCGUGAGCCACCGCGCCCAGCCUUGGGUGAGUAUUUUCUCACAGUUGCCUAUGAGUCGGCUGCUGUGGCUUCCACCAUGCUCCUAUCUCAGCUUCCUAAGUCUAAGAAGGGAGGCCCAGAUACUCGAAGUUUGAAGGGUAAACCAACCACCAGGAGUGGCAGCUGAUGUCUUCAAAGCUCUCUACAGUUCCCAAAGCACCUUGCCUGGCAGUAAUCCCUGUGGGAUGCAUAAGAAGCCUAUGGGUCUUCAGCACAGGUCAUUAAAGUUCCAAAUGGGAGGAGAAGGUGUUAUCAAUAACAGUUUUGUUAUGAAAACAAUGCUUGUUUAAGAAAUAAAAAUUAGUUAAAUAUAGAUUAGCAGAAAGAAUAUCGAAACCCCCCAUGGCUACCCCCAUCCAUAACUGCUGAUAAAUAUCUAUGAUGGUCUCCAUGCUUUCUUGUGUGCUGUGUAAACAAAAUACUUUUUUGUUUUUUACAAAAAUGGGAUAUUGCUGCAAUAUGUUUUAUAACCCUAACUUUUUUUUUGAGACGAAAUCUCACUCUGUCACCCAGGCUGGAGUGCAGUGGCGCAAUCUCGGCUCACCGCAACCUCCACCUCCCAGUAUAACCUUAAUUUUGAAAAAUUUGAUGUAUAAUGAACAAUCUUUCAUAUCAUCAGUAUUCAUCAAUACUGGAAUUUUUAGUGGUUGAGGACCACUUCAGUAUAUGAAAGAGCUGCAAUUUAUGUCACCAAUUCCCUGUUGCUGCAAAUAUAUUUGAUUUUUAGUUUUAUUGCUAUUAUAAAAAAUACUGUUGAAAUUAACUCUGUAUACAACCAUAAAUUGUUACCUCGGGAUAAAAUCUUGGUAUUGAAGAUAUUAAUAACAAGGUUGAAAUCUUGGAAUUAAAAGUGUUUUAAAGCUA